CUACGGGUCGCUGCAGGCGCGAAAACUUCACAAUGUGCGAAAGCACGAUGAGGGAAUCCCAAGUGCUUGCUCGUAAGAGUAAGCUGUUUUAAUGUUUAAAAUGCAUUGAGAGUAAGGGCUGGGUAAGACGGGUGCCAGCCGCCGCGGUAAUACCCGCAGCUCAAGUGGUGAUCACUAUUAUUGGGCCUAAAACGUCCGUAGCCGGUUUAUUAAAUGCCUGGGUAAAUCGUAUAGCUUAACUAUACGAAUUCCGGGUAGACUGUUAAACUUGAGACCGGGAGAAGUUAGAGGUACUCCUGGGGUAGAGGUGAAAUUCUGUAAUCCUAGGGGGACCACCAGUGGCGAAGGCGUCUGACUAGAACGGGUCUGACGGUGAGGGACGAAGCCCUGGGGCGCAAACCGGAUUAGAUACCCUGGUAGUC
rnacentral:rRNA from 1 species